UGUGGGGGAAGGAUCUCUUCUGGAGGUUCAUGCUGCUGGAGUUUUACAAGUGAGCCCAGGAUAUGGGUUAACUCAGCAAAGUUUUCACUGUGUUCCCUGGUGGAGAUGGGUGUUGGCUCCUUGCCUUGGAUGCACAAUGCUUGCUUUGUCUGCUUGGUACAGCCUGUAUCAAGGAUCAAGAAAACUCCCCUCAGCUGACACAGUUCUGGUUCCUGAACUUCUCACUUCUUCCAACUUUUGGUGCAGUCAGGCCAAACAACCCAUUGUGAUUUGUUCAGAAGAGAUUUCCAAGCAUGAUCCCUAUGAAGAGCAGAACUCCUACAGUACGAUUUGAAGCGAAUUUCUUCCAACAGUCUUCAGGCUUAUCUAUAUCCAAAGUGUAAAUCUGCAAA